GCAUUAUUUUAAUUUUAGUUUCUUGUGUACAAUUUGGAAAUUAGUUUGGCGUUCAUUAUCACUGAACUAGUAUAUAUUUGUUUAGGGGCCAGUUGAAGGACGCCUCCGGGUGCGGGAAUUUCUCGCUACAUUGAAGACCUGUUGGUGACCUUCUGCUGUUGUUUUUUUCUAUGGUAGGGUUGUUGUCUCUUUGGCACAUUCCCCAUUUCCAUUCUCAAUUUUAUUGUCC
rnacentral:lncRNA from 1 species